UCACUGGAAUUUGUCGGGACAUUUUAAUGACGGACGUUAUCUUCUCUCUUGUAGGUGUCUCAGCUGAGCUGUACUAUGUGCGCGAUGGCCAAGUCAACGAUUAUGCGAUCAACUUUGCCGUCCCCGUGCCGGCGAACGUCAACGAGAUCUCGUUCACGUGGCAAGGUCUAGCCCACCAUCCGCUCCCAUACAGUGUCAACAUUAUUACAUCAGAGCCGUUCGUGCUGCCGCGUCCAAUGUUGAAUAUUUCGCGAAUCGGUGAAAUUCCGCUGGAGCCACAGACAUUCGCUGUCAGCCUAAAGUGUUCUGGUACGCGCGACGCUGAAGUUGAGGUCACCAUUGCCAUCGAAAUAAUACUGGACAGAAAGACGAACAAUGUCACUGAUCUGAUGUUCAGAAGGAAAAAAAUUUGCCUUGCCGGGCCACAGGAUGAGGGCCGCCAUGGCAGUGGCAACAGUAGCAGUAAAGGUGGUAGCGCCAGCAGCAUCAAUAUGCACAUUAACCAACCGGGUGAAGGUAUUCGCAAAGACGCUACCGUCGGUAGUGCCGCACAUGAAACGGAAAUCGUUAAGGUGGGCGAGGAUAGUGUGAGUGGGCAUGUGAGCAGUAGCGACGGGCAGCAUACAAUAGAUGAAAAUUUGUUGGAUGGUGGGCGGUUGAGUGGAAUAGGCACUGUGCUGCAUGACUUCGAUCCAAUGCUGAAAGAGACUCUGGCACCACCGUCUAGUGGAGUCACAACACUUAUUGUGGGUGGGAUCUUAGCCCUGUUGCUGGUGACCACACUUCUCAUUAUCGCCUAUUGCGCCAAGGGCCCUACGAAGCGCCAAAGCCAUGGUGUACAUCUCAUAAAGACAUCCAGUUUUCAACGUUUGCCGACCAUAUCAUCAACCGCACAUAACUCCAUCUACGUGUGUCCAUCAGUGAUUGCGCCAACUUAUGCGACUCUCACGCGACCAUUUAGAGAGUACGAGCAUGACCCCGAGGAGUUCAAUCGACGCCUCAACGAACUUACAGUCCAAAAGUGCCGCGUCCGUCUGUCGAGUCUGGUUCAGGAGGGCACAUACGGUCGCAUUUAUAAAGGCACUUACAACGACUGCCAAGAGGUGAUGGUCAAAACGGUCGCCCAACAUGCUAGUCAAAUACAAGUUUCACUGCUGCUACAAGAAGGUAUGAUGCUGUACGACGCGGCCCACCCUAACGUACUCUCCAUAUUGGGAGUCAGUAUUGAAGAUUUCACCACACCAUUUGUGCUCUACCCGGCGGAAAAUAAUACACGAAACCUUAAGUUGUUCUUGCAAGAGCCGGCAUAUGCGCGGAAUGUCACCACCAUCCAGACCGUUCUCAUGUCGUCGCAACUCGCAAUGGCUAUGGAACACCUGCACAAUCACGGUGUAAUACAUAAGGACGUUGCGGCCAGGAAUUGCGUGUCGCCGGUACGGACGUACAAAAGGACUUCAGUAGAAAAAGUACUCAAAUACACGCCACGACAACCUGCUGUAAGUGCCCCCGACACAUAGCACAUCCACGAGCACUACUUGCCACAGCGCUAGCAAAAGGCACCGAUAGCUACGACGAUAACGUCGAAGAAUUUAGCGAAGUACUACACACAUCCAUAUGUACAUGCAACAUUUGCUGGGAAAACAACAAGUCUUUACAAGGAAGUACGGAUAUAAAUACCCAUACCUACAUACAUACACAUACGUAAGGAGAUAUUUCGGCAUCACAUCCGCAAGCGACAAAAUACAGGAAACAAAAGGGCAAAAACAACAAUAAAACGAUCAGCUGGCCGGAUUACAUAGAGGUGGGAGCGGGUCAACGGCCGCUGCACAAAAUUCGAACACUUGGAAGCUGGAGGUACAUAGAGUGAGGGAAGCUGAAAAAGUGAAGAGCAGACUAGAACUCACCUGGAACAAGUAAGCAGAACUGGGGAGAGUGGGCUGAAUUGCAGUGAGCGAACAUUCGCCAGCACCAGCCACGUAUAUAUGUACAUACAUCGUCGCGCGGUCAGCAACGGCGAGAUCGCCCAACGAAAGCCGAUAGCAACCGCGCCGCCGCGACCAGCAGCGCAGCAGAACCGACUACGUCACCAUUGCUUUUGGUUGUUGCUGUUUUUCGCACGUUUUUUUUUGUAAGGGAUUUUUUUUGAAACCAUUUUUUUUUUUUCAGUAAUUUGCACUUUGAUUAAUUUGGAUUUGUAACUUUAAUUCUUAAUGACAACUUGCGACUGUGUGCUUAGUUUUUUUCUUUUAAUGCCGAUUUUGCUUAUUUCGUUUGUUGCCUUAUUUUACCUUAUCACACCAUUCGCAAUAUCACUUCGCACUUGAUUUAACUUUCGUACUAGCAAUAUAGUUUGGGUUUUUUUUUUAUAUACGUAUAGUCGGAUAGUUAUAUUUCUUAUUUUUUUUGCAAUCCGAGUGAAUAUUUCUGCUUUUUAAUUUAUAUUUACGCAAAUCUUAGAAAUUAAUUGUCGGAAAGCGUACUGCACGUGUGACUCGCUCGCUGCCCGCAAACACGAGCGAGUGACCAAAGCAACAAGUAGCGCAGGUCGUCAGACCUCAGCUGGCCGCUAAUACCUAUAUAUCUAUGUAUGUGCAUGUAUGUCGAUUUCCAGCCCUUUUCAGCGUCCUCUCUACAUGUUGGUACCAGCAUCGUGGGAAUGCUAAAGCAUUGACGACCAACUUCGCGUAAAGCUAACCGAUAGCUCCCUAAGUCGCGACCUCUUCCCAAAUGAUUACAACUGCUUGG